rnacentral:rRNA from 1 species
GACGAACGCUGGCGGCGUGCUUAACACAUGCAAGUCGAACGGAAAGGCCCCUUUGGGGGUACUCGAGUGGCGAACGGGUGAGUAACACGUGAGUAACCUUCCCUUGACUUCGGGAUAACUUCAGGAAACUGGGGCUAAUACCGGAUAGGAAUCCUUGCUGCAUGGUGGGGGUUGGAAAGCUUCGGCGGUUUUGGAUGGACUCGCGGCUUAUCAGCUUGUUGGUGGGGUAGUGGCUUACCAAGGCUUUGACGGGUAGCCGGCCUGAGAGGGCGACCGGCCACAUUGGGACUGAGAUACGGCCCAGACUCCUACGGGAGGCAGCAGUGGGGAAUAUUGCACAAUGGGCGGAAGCUUGAUGCAGCAACGCCGCGUGCGGGAGGACGGCCUUCGGGUUGUAAACCGCUUUCAGCAGGGGCGAAGCUUGUGGUGACGGUACCUGCAGAAGAAGCACCGGCUAACUACGUG